AUGGUGCAAAUGAUGCUUCAUUUUCCACAUUGCCUGCAGAUGCAUUUUCACUGACCGACUGUAAUGGCUUCAGUUCUUCUGAGAGACAAUCAUGUAUGGUUCAUGUACCUAUCUGUAUCCAAUGUUAAUGUAUGUGUAAUGUCUGGAGUCAUUAACUAUACUUGAGUAACACUGUGUCUGUUGCUGAUACUUACUAGCAUCUUCAGCUUCUUCAAGGCCCAUAUCUGCUGCCAGCAACGUCUCACCUGGGCCAUGCAUGAGUAGUAAUAGUGUUGAAGUCAAAUUUUCACCAUCUUCUGAAGAUCGAGACAGCAAACGUCCUCUUUCUCAGCCUUUUCCUCUUCCCCAAAAUUUUUCAGCAGAUGUUGAGGCUGAUCUGAAGAAGGGGUCUACGUCUGUUACAACUAUGGCAAAUUUGUCACUGCUGUUGCACAUGGAGUCUUUGCAUUCAAAUGCUAUCCAUCAUCAAUUGACUUUACUCUGGUCACCGAUUGAAUAUGCACCAAGUACCUUUUCUUAAGGAGUAACUGGUUGAGAUGCGUCGCAACAUGUUUAAAAGGUUUUGGAGAUCUGGAGGUUUUGGCAACAUCAAGUUGUUGCCAAGAGGAUCAACAGCCACAACCCAAAAAGAAUCAUUAACUGCUAAGUCCAAGGCCAUACCCCACCUCAACGAGGACAAGAUGUUCAUUUCUAUAAUCGACAUGUUAAGGAGCUUCAGGAGUUGUACAAAAGAACAAUCCCUCUAAAGAAGUUGUGGUGCAACUGAUGAACAGACUUUCUUUUCGAAGGAGUUUGGUAAUAAGUGAUCCUCAGGCUGCGUCAGCAAUUCUUGCAACCCAGCCAUCUUUGAGAUGUGUUGAUGAAGUUAGCUAGUUUUGAAAAGCUUUCCUUCUUAUGUGCUGUUAUGCUUCAUGUAUUUUAAGUGCUUCCUUGAAUUUGGUCGAAUUUUGGGGGAAGCUGAUGUGAAGGAGACAAUGUCAGUUGAUUGGAAGACUAGAUGGUGUGGGAAGAUCAUUAAUCUUGCAAAGCAAGAGCAGCAUCAUCAUGCCAUAAAGUGUUUGAUGGACCUGUACUUUUCUCAAAGAGAAUCAGAAGACUUAUUGUGUGAAGGAGCUCUGUUGUUGGCUGGUGUCUUUGAGUACAACGAAGAAGGCUAAGUUGUCUCAUGGACUUCAUGUUGUAAAGUUCUUAGCUUAGCUCUAGAGCAUAGUUGGCUGUUCUAGAAUUCAAGUGAUGUUAAUCAAGAAGCUACAAAGCAAGAGAACAACUGUCCAAUGAUUAACAACUGAUGGUAGUCCAAGAGAGUAUUUUCUUGUCAUUGAGAAGGCUAUACUAGGAGUAGUUAAGGUUGCAGCAGAUAUCCCUGGGGCUCUGCUGGCAGCCUUUUACGUUUUAACAUCUCGUAUCCUGACAGUUUAAAGCUGUUUCACUUGAUCCUGGAAACCUGUCUGGCAAAGUAGUCUUCAGAGAAAACAACAGUUGCCACAAAGUGCCUCCUAAGCACCAUUACCCACAUGGAGUGCUAGUUUGGACAGAUUAUCAAGAACUAUGUGGAUAUUAGUGUGAUUGGUAUUUCAGCAUGUCUUGUAGGAUGUUCCAAAUGUAUGGUAUACGUAUCAGUUGUAAAAAUAUAGUAUGAGUUGAAUC